AUAUAUAGAUAUCUACAGCCGUCCCACCACCACUUCCUUCCCUGCUCGCCACGGCUGGAGGGGAGGGGGCACUGUCUCCGCAUUGCUGUCAUUAUCUCACUCCUUGUAUUUGCUCGCAGCUACUUUAGCGCGGCCCGUUCUGCCCGGACGUUUGUCUUCCGCCGCGACCAUACAUAAGCCAGCACAAAUUCCCCUUGUACCGGCGACCUCCCCCUCUUCUGUUGUAUGUAUGUAUCCAUCUCAGCCACCGCCCUUAUACGUUCCAUCUUCUUCCCCGCGAUUAUUCUCUACAUACAGCUGCAGCGAUAGAGAGAACGCCGUGUGUGCGUGCGCGUGUCUGUCGGCAUUCCUCUGCGUUCAAAGGGACGACCGAACCACUGCACAAACUCCUGCUCUCUUCUUCCCUCUUUUAUAUUGUUUUCGGUCUCUUCUUCUGCUUGAUCUAUCCUUUUUUGUGCGUCCUCUUGUAGCGCACCGACGCCCGGGGACCCUCACCUCUCUGAAGUGUUGUCUGUUGUGACUUCUGCUUCCACCGAUUCACUCAGUGGGCGUGUUCCGAGACGCAUACAAAGGCAUUCCGCGUCUUGCCAAAUCACCAUAGAGCUUCCAUCACUAUUACCUCCCUUGUCGUAACACUCCAGACAUCCAUCUGUGCAUCAGAAAUCCCUGCACAUCAGCGUAAAGCACGGCACACAACAGUGUAGACGACAACGAAAAAAAAACUCUUGUGUCCACCUUCCUCAUCUCUGACUGUUGCCUCCAUCAUCUUCCCCCACUCUCCUCCUCCCUGCCCAUCAUCACCGCAACUGCUAACCCUCCCUCAUCCCCGCCCGUCUUUAUUUUGCCGCCGACUCCGCGUGUACUUUUUUUUUCGUUCGUUGCUUUCCUGCCUUCCGUCUUGUCAUUUUGAAUCCCCGCGUAGAAUCGUGCUCUCUCACUCUGUGUGUGUGUGCGUGUGUGCGUGCCUGCCUGUUCGACUGACUGCCUAUCGGGUCCUCUGUGCACUUCUCUCUCGUUCCCUCUCUCCUCCUCAAGCUGAAUGUGACUCAUCGCUGUGAUGUACGACGCCUAUUCUGCGCUUGCUUCGCUCUCUAGCUUUUCGAAUGCCUUCUCCUGUGACGGUGCAGGCCUCCUCCCCUUUCUUUCGCUGUCUUUGCCUUCACGCUCGCCAGUGCUGAAUCCCCUGCUCUUGUUCCUGAAGGCACUGCCGAGAGGCCGUUUUUGUGCGUGGGUUCCCGCACGCUUUUACGUCUUGUUGAUGCCUGUGGGCGGUGUUCACGCAGUUGCGCAUUUCUUCAUGCAUGCGCCUAUGCGUAGCCGUGUAGCAGUUUCCGUUGAGUCUGCCUGCUUUUUCGUUUUUUUUUGCUUCGUUUCGCUUCCUCGGCUUCUACACGCAUACACGGUGCCUUUACACUCCGCACGAACUCUCCUUCCCUUCUUCGCCUGUCGCGACGCCGCCAUCACUGCCUCAUCAUCUCCUUUGCCCUGCCUUCCAUCAGCGCGGAGGGGGGGGGCGCGUCUGUUGUCGAUCAGCUCAUUGAACUGCCUGAGGUGCAUCUUUGGUUUGAGCGGGGUGAGCGCGGGUACUGUCUGGCCACGUCAUCGCCACUCUUCGGUUGGUCUCUCCAAAGCAGUCUUCGGCAAGCCCGUCACAGAAAACGGAAAUAGGAAUGCAGCCCCCUUCACCCUCGUCAUGUGACUCGCCGAUACGGCCUGCUGUUGUGCCUCAUCAGCCCAACACCACUUCUCGCACCCAGGAGGACUCGCCACUGGGGAAGGCCAGUGCAGCGACUCUCGCAGAUGCAACAACCACCCUUGGCCUAAAAACGGAGGCUUUCACGGCCACCAACGCUACCGGAAGCGUCUUGAGUGCCACUUUGCCGCCUCUGCAGGCGGACAAUUCUUUUUUGUCUUCCAUUGCGUCCGGUGGGCCGUCGCCUCGGUCGGAGUGGUCGAGCAAGACGCGGCAGCACGGGCUGCAGCUUUCCUCCUCAUCGUAUCUGUCGCAUCACCACCCCUCGGCGGACAGCGAGGUACAGGAGGGUGGAGCCUCUCCGUCUGUCUCCAGAAGCGCACAAGCGAUCGUGGCGAGCCGCUCCUCCAUUGCACGCCUAGUCGAAUCACAGACCACCGACUGUGACUCCUCCUACGCCCUUUCGCGCGCGAGCGACACGGUGCCGCCCGAGUGCCUCGCCUCCCACCCCCGCUGCGAGGAAUCGUUCGCUCUGCUGAGGUCUCCGUCAACUUGGAAGACGCCUUUUCCGCGGCCGCGGGGCCUAAGGUGAUGCAGCCAGCAUCUACUGCAACGCUCUGCACGCCGCCGAAGCUUACUGGAGCGAAUGGCCACCGCUCUUCUCAGGCGGUGACUCCCGUCGCCAUCGCUCCUGUGGCCACGGCUGCCACGCCUGCUGCCUUCAAAGAUCGAGCGAACUGCAACGACGCAUCCGUCUGCCCGAAAGACGCAAUGCAGCACUCCGCGGAAAGAGGGGACGCCUAUGCACGUCAUUCACACGUGUCACCGCCUUCUACUUCCAGCUCGGCGAGCGGAGCAUCCGAACUGAGCAACGACGACGGCGGAGCCAGCGAGGGCAAUCGACUGGGCACCCCGGCUCACCGCAGCCUUCUGCGACGCUCCCUCUUCGGCAAACCCUCACCGGCUUCGCACACCACGAGCCCCCCACCGUCUCCGACGGCGGAUGCCGCCGCCUCGAACGGAUUUCGCGGCGAAUACUCGCUCUCUCAGCCUGCGGCGCACUUCCCGAGCCGGUGUAGUUCACGUUCCGACACCGCUUUUGUGUCCCCGUCACAGACAGCUCUCCUGACAGGCAUCUCUGACGUGGCAGACACUCGUCAGUGCCAGCAGAACCGGCAGCAAGCGCAGCAAAGGCCAUUGUCGCUCGUUAAGCAGACCAAAGGCAAUCCUACGCCACCACGAACUGCCGUAUCGGAUCAUGAAUCUCUCGGCAGCCCUAUCCACCCACUACAGCCGAAUUCCACGACGGCCUUCGACGAAGAACAAGCAACUGCACCAGCAGCAGCAACGACAGAGUUCCGCAGCAACACAACGCCGUUCCGCUCUCUGGUGGCCUGCGCCGCCGCCGCCGCGAAGGGGCCAACGACCGACAUGGAGACACGGAUGUUCCCUGUUGCCCUUUUGAUCACCGCCCCCGUGCGACUGCAAACCGCGCAGGUUUCGCUGUCCACAGAGUCAUCGCCCGCUCUUGGUGCCAAGGCCUCGCGGGAAGACCUCAGCGACGCUGAAGGGAUGCUGUGGUGCGGUCUCAGCCACCCGGCUCAGUGCACAGCCUGUCCACCACAGAAGAUUGAGGCCACAGUCGAUGAGGUGCUGCAGCAUCUUCACGAAGACUCGGGCGGUGUUGCGGCCCACCCCUGCCGCAACCCCUACAACAGUCCGCACACACCCCGUGGCUUGUCAUCGGUGAGCUGCGCCAGUCGCAGUCUCUCUGUGUCUUCCUCCGGCCUCGCCAGGUCCUACGCGGCCUCCUUUGCUGGUGGGCGAUCCGUUUUUGUCAGUGAGCAAGACGGGACGGCUACAGCGAUCUCCGUUUCCGAAGUGCAGCCCGAAGAGUUGGACCGCUGCAACACUCCCGCAUCGCCGCAUACUCCGUUGGGAAACCGCACGCCUGGCCCUGUCGGACUCCACGACAACUCCACGACACAGUACAGCCUAGGGCACUCGCACUCGCGCUACCGCUCACAGCUGCUCUCCCAGUCUAUCACCCCGCAGAGGUCGGCCCGCCGUGCCUUCUCUCGCCAGACGACCCCGUCACAGUCCUUCCGCUCCAAGGUCCAGAGCCUCAGUUUCGAGUCACAACAGCAGCAGUGCAUAUCCAAUCACGUCAUCGAUCCCAUCAAAGGCGACAGUCAGCUGAACAUGUGUCGAUUCCUGAUCAACGGUGAACCUGCUAGCACCGCAGAGCGCGACUACCUUGCCCCCAGCCGCAACCCCUUCAGCCUGUACCGAACACUCGAGCCGUACGCCACCAACCUCUCGGUGCUCACGCUGGGCGCAGCGCCUGACAGCGCCUCCCCCGACUUUGUUCUCUCUGAGCAUGACCUGUCCGAAAACCAGGCGGCUUUCGCGGCCGCUCUGCAGAGAACGGCCGUCCGCCCCGACGCGGCAGUCGUCCUGUACGAGCAACUCGUACCGCCUCCCUCGAACCCCCCAGGUGCCUCGCACCGCGCGCGGAUGGAAGAGUCCACUGCUCACGGUCCCCCUGCCGCUCUCCUUAUUCCGGACGUCGACACGGAAGAGCGCCUCUCUUUAGCCAACUCCUUCCUCUCCGCGAGCGGCCGCAGAGGAAAACACGGGCGAACGUGGAGCGUCUUGCUCGAACAGUACAAGGCCACCAAACCGCCUGGUGCAGCAGUCGUUGUUAAUGGAUGUGGCCGCCACACAACACCGCUAACGGCGCAGAUGCGAGAUGUGCAGUCGACCGCAGGCGUCAUCCGCACGGAUCCGCAGACAAACGCAGCUCCGUCUUCGUCGUCAUCGUCCCCAGCAGUCCAUCCUGGUGUCUCAGCAAGCUUCGCGCUGCCAGAAAUCGAGCCGCUCACUGUACAGAGUUUCUUCUGCCACGGGGUGCAGCCAACGACGCCGUUGGUGGCCGCCGUCGGGGCGGCCUCCGGCAGCAUACCGCUGCACGGUCCCCUGGCAACGGGAGCCUCUCCGGCCUCUUCCGGCGAGCUGCUCGAUGUUUCGACAAGUACAUCGUCGCUGAAGCAGUCACAGCGGGGCAAGUGUGCGACGAGUGACAGCGCCUCGCCGCUGCCACAACGUCCUACGCAAAACCCAAUCAACAUGGAGUCGCACUCCGAGUCCUCCACGGGCUGCGGCACGGUUUCCGCUGACCGACAGCUGCAUUUUGAGUAUGACGAAGGAGACGAGGAGGCGGCGUGGAGCGACUGCGAUGAGGCGAGCUGUCCCUACAGACCAACUUCCGUUGAAGAGGGGGGAGCUCAGAAGGUGUUGCACGCUCGAAGUCCUCUUGACCUACGCGCAGGGGGUAGCGGCAGCACCUGGAGCAGCCACGGAUCGCCAAACUGCCUUUGUCACACCGUCGCGAAUGCCGGCUUCUCUGCGACCGCGCAGCCGAGUCCUGUAAAGGAACUCAAAGUGCUCCGCGUAACGAGUGCACCCCCUGCGCAGCCGGCGCCAGAGUGGGAGGCGGCCCUCGCUCCAUACGACCGAGAGGCGAGGGGGGCUGCUUUGCCUCUUCCAUCCCUCAGCCUGACCCGGUUGGCAAACCACUCACCACGGCUGCAGUUUCUUCCGCCGGCGCUGCAACGGCGCCCGUCAUCAAGCAGAGAGGUAGCAGAGCUGUGCAUCUCCUCUGAGUCUUCGUGGGCACGUGGGGCACAGGCCCCCGUGGUGGCUGGCGCAAGCGCGAGUGCCCCCUCUUCGGAGCACGCAGACACCUCCGCUACCGCACAGAUCGGCUGCCGCCUGGCAGAGUCCUUUUCAGACCCAUUGGAGGCAAACGACACGAGCGAGGAAGACGUGCCGGGCGAUCGCUUCCAGGCACACCACGUCUUUCAAUUCCUGCACAGAAUCACCACGACUUGUGGAGGGAGCGACGUCCGGGAAGCGAAGCAAGAAGACGGCCGCCGCGCUAUUCCGUUGUGCGUCGAGGUGAACGGCGUCACAUGGCUCGCUAUGCAUCGGCUCAACGGCCUGCCGUAUGCGGUGAAGGAAGUGCCUGCCGCAGCCUUCAACCUUGCCGAGCUACGCUGUCUCACCCUUUCCGUAAACCCUCCGUCGUGCCGAGAGACAACGAACAGGGAGUCCCCUCUGGAGCCGCGGGAUCAGUACUCGGCAGUUCUCACUGCAGAUGACAGGCUGGAGGCGGAAGACUGCAUUGUCCGCUACUACAGUGUCAGCACGCCACCGCAGAACAGCAUCAAUCCAGAGGUCCAUCUGUUGCAGCUGGAGUACUUCCCCCGGGGCUCGCUGUCGGAGCUUGCCAGACGUUGCAGCAGAACGCACGGGGCCUUCUCAGCGCAUGAGCUAUCGUCGUUCUCAGUUGGCGCUGGGGUGCUGAGCAGCCGGUUUUGGCUGGAGGCCGUGACACAGGGCCUGCGAGGGUUGCGGGUGCUUCAUCACGCCGACCUCAUCCACGGGUGUCCGCUGCCACUGUCGCUUUUCUUGUGUGACAACACCCCCUCCGCUGUGCGCUUCAAGUGGAGCUGCUUUGGCAACGCGCGAUCUGACGCCGACAUCUACCCGACGGAGUCGCUACCGGCAUGGGUGAGUGAGGCGGUGUCGCGGCUGUACCGGAGGGCCAUCUCUGGCGGCUCUUCAGUCACGCCGGACGUGAUGGAGGUGGCGGUGUUUUGCUUGGGUAUACUCGAGGUGUUGGUAAACUGCCUCCCCGCACAGGUUCUAAGCGUGCGGCCGUCGCGUGCCUCACAGCGUCUUAGUGAGCUGGACUGGAUCGAGGUGGUUGUCACGGAGAAGCACCUCGAACUCUACGCAGCGGAAAAAGAGAAUGGCGAGGACAUGCAAGCAUUGGUGCGUCUCAUGCGCUUCUUGUGGGAUGUCUCGAACAGCUACAGCACGGCGGCUCAGGCGCUGGCGCAGCUUAGCGUCCGUGUCGAUCCCGCCGCCAGGGUUGUGGAGCAACUGUACGAGUGCGAGCUGGCUCGCUUGACUCGCCAGCUGGAGGAGCGGCGGCGGCGCCUCCAUCGCCGUCAGCAGCAAGGGCAGUCACAGGCUCUUCACAGCGCGAGCACGGCAUUCUCCUUGCCGACGGACACGUUCUUUCUACGCUCCCCUGCAAUGAAGACGGUUGUCGCCGGUGCCUCUUCGAGGUGCCCCGGCGAGGUUGGCGAGCUGUCAUCGCCGCUGCUGCGCCCGGCCCACGAUCUUGCUGUCACGCGUGCCAGCGUCUCGUCUCUCGGCGCCGCUCCGUCGCCUCCAAAGAGUCGAAACGGGACCCCGCAGCUCGUCUGCUCAGCGCGACUUCCGCUGCAUCACACGCUGCUGACGCGUCCCCUCACCGUGACAGGCAGCCUGUUUCUUCCCUCCAGCACCGCCGUCGCCCCGGCUGCUGCUGCCCCGGCCCCUCCAGCAACUCUGCGGGUUGAGCGGACACUGUCGGAUAUGUCGGGACGAAGAGGCGGCGGCGGGAUGGUGGGACAGCGAACAAGAUCAGAGCUUCACCCCGGCAUACUCAAGGCGGUAAACCACAUGCUCGAGAAUGCGGUGAAGAGCGGUGAAGAUGGUGCAAGAGACGCAAUUGCGGCUCUCUUGAGGCCCGCGGUGGAAUCAAUGUGCCAGCGAGGAUGGACGACCCUGUACGCGGGGGUACCGCUCGCCGUCGCUGGGGUUGUCAGCGUUGACGCACGCGCAGGCACGAGCGAGGCUGCUGAAGCGCUCAUGAAGUCUCUACGGCCAAUGACCUCAUUCGAGUAGUCGCUGUACGGAGCAGUGGGAAGGGGAGGGGACGAACGUUGUUCGCACGUGGAAAGAGAGCACGCAGGACAGCAUUUGGGUGGGUUCAUGCAUGCGUAUACGCGUUCUGGUGUGGUGACGGAUGCAUUGCGGUUGUUAUCAGCGCCGGUCCGAUCCAGCGGAAAAGGCACCUUAUGUGUGUCCACACCACCACUACCACUACGGGUCUCAGAAGUAUCUAUAUUUCCUUUCUCCUUGUUCAAGAGAAAAAAGGGGUUUUGACUGCCCCUUCUGUGCACUGCAUGUCUUCGUGCUAGACACGUCCGACGCUCGUAGUGUCAAGGCAGCAGGAAGACAGGCAGCCGUUGUGCGGUCCCCUGCAGGUGGACUCGGUGCCUCUACUCUUCAUCUGCCCCCGCCUGCCCAUAGAGUAUUUCUAUUCCUCUGCAUGUGUUGGUACGUGCAGCGCUCUUCGCGUUUCCGUUUCUUCCUCCCUUUCGCUCACCCUCGUGUGUCCCUGCCCACGCACAUGGGCGUCUGCACCUCUCUUUGCGUCGUGUGAGAUGAUCCGGUGCCGCUGUUCCCCGCCCCCCUGCGCACCGCCCCAGCAUCAGCGCUGCCCCUCUUUCUGUUUCUUUGCUGGCUCUUGCGUGGAGCGGCGCGUGUGUCCUUUCCUCGUGUCUGCCCCCUUCGUCGUGUACUAUGUUGUGUGUGUGUGUGUGUGUGUGUUUUUGCUUCAUCUCUGAUCUUUCUCUCCUCCCUCUGCGUGCCUGGCAUUGCAUACCGGUUGUUAUCGCGGCCUCACAUGCCUCC
rnacentral:misc_RNA from 1 species